CUGGCUCAGGAUGAACGCUGGCGGCGUGCCUAACACAUGCAAGUCGACGAAGCACUUUGAUCGGAGAUCGUCAAGAUUGGAUUGACUUAGUGGCGGACGGGUGAGUAAUGUAUGAGCAACCUGCCUUUCAGAGGGGGACAACAGUUGGAAACGACUGCUAAUACCGCAUAAUGUAUUUUGAGGGCAUCCUCGAGAUACCAAAGGAGCAAUCCGCUGAAAGAUGGGCUCAUAUCUGAUUAGUUAGUUGGCAGGGUAACGGCCUACCAAGACUGCGAUCAGUAGCCGGACUGAGAGGUUGAACGGCCACAUUGGGACUGAGAUACGGCCCAGACUCCUACGGGAGGCGGCAGUGGGGAAUAUUGGGCAAUGGGCGAAAGCCUGACCCAGCAACGCCGCGUGAAGGAAGAAGGUCUUCGGAUUGUAAACUUCUUUUAUGAGGGACGAAGGACGUGACGGUACCUCAUGAAUAAGCCACGGCUAACUACGUGCCAGCCGCAGC
rnacentral:rRNA from 1 species